rnacentral:rRNA from 1 species
GGCGAACCAGGGGAACUGAAACAUCUAAGUACCCUGAGGAAAAGAAAUCAACCGAGAUUCUCUUAGUAGCGGCGAGCGAACGGGGAUCAGCCUGCAAGUGAUAGCUUGUGUGUUAGUGGAACGGUCUGGAAAGUCCGGCGAUACAGGGUGAUAGCCCCGUACACGAAGCAUGAUAUAUCACAUAUUAAGUAGGACGGGACACGUGUUAUCUUGUCUGAAGAUGGGGGGACCAUCCUCCAAGGCUAAAUACUCCUGGCUGACCGAUAGUGAACCAGUACCGUGAGGGAAAGGCGAAAAGAACCCCGGAGAGGGGAGUGAAAUAGAACCUGAAACCGUAUACGUACAAGCAGUGGGAGCCACUUCGUGUGGUGACUGCGUACCUUUUGUAUAAUGGGUCAGCGACUU